UACGUAGGUGGCUAGCGUUGUCCGGAUUUACUGGGCGUAAAGAGCGCGCAGGCGGUCGUUCAAGUCGAGUGUGAAAGCCCCCGGCUCAACUGGGGAGGGUCACUCGAUACUGAUCGACUUGAAGGCGGGAGAGGGAAGCGGAAUUCCCGGUGUAGUGGUGAAAUGCGUAGAUAUCGGGAGGAACACCAGUGGCGAAGGCGGCUUUCUGGCCCCGUUCGUUGACGCUGAGGCGCGAAAGCUAGGGGAGCAAACAGG
rnacentral:rRNA from 1 species